GUGUAAAACAUGUUGAACCUAAAACACCUCUUAAGGACCUCAUACUAUCGACGGGAUGUUAUGUCCAAUUAGUUUACACAUACAGUAUUUAA
rnacentral:sRNA from 1 species